GUUUUAAUGAAAUUUUACCCUAAACUGUAAAGUUUUUAUCUGCAGCUGCUAAGGGAUAACAGAUUCUGUCAGCCUCUGCAUUUUCUGUGGCAUGUCUCCAGCAACCAUCUGUUACCUCCCUGCCUUUGCCCUGUGCAUGCCCCAAGGCCUCCUCCCUGCACUGAAUGGUGCUGUGCAAAGGCUCCUUCUGAAGGCUGUCAGAUCAUCUGCUUCAUGGGAAAGCUCAGCUCACAGUGCUCCCAGUUCUGCAGAACAGCAGUAUGCCAGCGAUAUGAGCUAAACCUUGCAGCCUUUUCAAAGAGGAAAUUCCAUUUACUUUGGAAUGCAAUUUUGAAUGGAGUAAAUGCAGCAAAGAAGAGGAAUUCCGAAAUGGAAAUUUAACAGUGGGUGUUGAGUAGCAGUGCAAGAUGCAAAUUACGAUUUUCAGAGCCCUGUUAUCUUCAGUUUUCUUAGGAAAACUGAAUCUCUUGCGAUAUUUUAUUCGUUCAAGAUAAAACUAUUGGAUUUCAGAAGAAUUACUGACAGUAGCUUGAGGUUCUACAUGUGUUCUUAGUACAGCCAGAAACUACAGCUUUACCAGUAUAUUUUUGUCCACUUCUUUGUGAGACUUUUGAUAUGUAGGGAGAUGGAAAUGUAACAAAGGCACCACUGUCAAAUUCACAAAGUAUGUGCAAUGAGAAAUACACAGAAAACUUUCUGAUGUAUUUCCUGUAAAAUGUCCUUGUAUGUCUGUUAAAUAGAGACAGAUGAAUCUCUCAGUCUAUUAACAACAGCUAGAAGUUGUUGUGGGGUUUUUUUACUACAUUUGGACAGAUAAUAAUGAGCUAUUCAAAAAAGCAAAUAGUGUUUCUUGGAUAGUAACUGUGCAUGAGAACUAUCGCUCAGAAAAGUUACGAUGUCAUUGUAACAAGAAAUAGUUUCUUCUGCCAAUGUUUCUUUAGACUAUGGAUUUCAUUUCAAUCUGGAUGUCAUGGAUCCAGCUUUAAAAUUUUAAUUAAACCAGUGGAGAAAUAUGUUUUCCAUUUUUCUAUUAAGGCUGAAGUUUGAACUUGUUUCUCAGUGGUAAAAAAGAAAAGCAAAUAAACUUUUAGUACAGCAAGCA
rnacentral:lncRNA from 1 species